GGGUGUCUUGAGUCUAAAAGACCUGGAGAGCCACUGCUGCCAACCAGAGGAGACAAGGCUGAGCUAGACAGACCAAGCAAAGGGACCUCAGGUAUAUUUUUAAAAGAUUAAAAGAACCAAGCAGUUUUAGAACAUGAUCCCUAAAACAAGUAGAGCCUCAGCAGUUGAAACGCACAUGGACUACAUGGGUGCAAGGGCCUGAUUUGGUCCGGCAUCCUUUGUCCCUCUGACCUGUGGGGCCUUUGGUCUGAUUCUGCAGCCUGACACCCUGAUAUUCUCCUUGGGGUAAGUGGAGCAGGUGAGCAACAACCCCCCUCUGUGUGUGUGUGUCUCUUAGGACCUUCACAUCCUGCUUCUCAAAGACCUGGUCAUGUUCCUGAAGCGAAAGGGGCAGUGGCUGCGGCUUAAAUUGCUCAGAAAGGAGAGCUCCCCCUUAAGUCCCGUUGUUCCUCUCAAGACCCUCCUUGUCCACCCCGUGGCCAACAGUAAGAAGGGGGGCCAUAACACCACGGUUCCUUGCUGCCCCCUUGCCUGGGAAAGGGUGCCUGGUUGAUGGGAGGGGUGGUUGGGUGAUGAUUGACCUCCCUGCGGUUCCCUGACUGCAGUAGAGUUUAAGCAGCUCUGCAAUGGGUAUUUAGACUCGGAAAACAGGGCCAAGGUGGGCAUCUGCUCCUCACUCAUUGGGGUUGUUUGGCUCACAGCGAAGAGAGUUGGCUUGGGCCAUCUCUACCACCCAUGGAGCUCAUGGGCACUGAAAGAGGCAAGACUAGGAAACGUCCUGGACAGCAGCUCCCUGUCUGCAAAAAGCCUGGUGGUACCUCAAAGGCCGACUCUUUUUAUACAGAGGGUUCCCUGUCUCAACAGAGGUGGAGUGGCCAAGCAUGCAGACCAUCAUGGACCUCAUGGGGCAGAUCUCAAGGAAUAUCAAGAGGCUGAAGGCAGAGGGCAGCAUCAGAUUGCAGCACAUUUACCAUCUUGAGAGUCGUCUGUAGGAUCUCGUUCUCCGUCUUUCCCUUGAGGCAACGAAUCAUCUCGACUGAGCUGGAUGUCGGACAAUCAGCAGUCGCAGCAAUUUUCUGCAACCAUGAGAAAGAAACCAGUCCUGGCUGAGCGUCAGAAGGAACAGGCUGUUCUGCUCCAUCAGGAGAAGCACAAAUAUUUUUAAUAAUUGUGUGGACACAGCGAGGUGUAAACAAAAGGAGCAGAGGAGGGCAGAGGAGAAUGCUUCAACGCCAUGGAACUAAGUGUGCAACACACAGGGGGGCCCCAACAUCCUGAGACAGGUGUAAGAACCCUGAGACAGUUGCAUGUCACCCUAAGAAACAGGCCACUUCAUGUUUUGGUUUUUUU